rnacentral:rRNA from 1 species
AUUGAACGCUGGCGGCAGGCCUAACACAUGCAAGUCGAGCGGAUGAAGGGAGCUUGCUCCUGGAUUCAGCGGCGGACGGGUGAGUAAUGCCUAGGAAUCUGCCUGGUAGUGGGGGAUAACGUCCGGAAACGGGCGCUAAUACCGCAUACGUCCUGAGGGAGAAAGUGGGGGAUCUUCGGACCUCACGCUAUCAGAUGAGCCUAGGUCGGAUUAGCUAGUUGGUGGGGUAAAGGCCUACCAAGGCGACGAUCCGUAACUGGUCUGAGAGGAUGAUCAGUCACACUGGAACUGAGACACGGUCCAGACUCCUACGGGAGGCAGCAGUGGGGAAUAUUGGACAAUGGGCGAAAGCCUGAUCCAGCCAUGCAGCGUGUGUGAAGAAGGUCUUCGGAUUGUAAAGCGCUUUAAGUUGGGAGGAAGGGCAGUAAGUUAAUACCUUGCUGUUUUGACGUUACCAACAGAAUAAGCACCGGCUAACUUCGUG